GAUGAACGCUAGCGGCAGGCCUAAUACAUGCAAGCCGAACGGCAAGUCUGAUAGCAAUAUUAGACCUAGAGUGGCGUAAGGGUGCGUAAACACGUAUGCAAUCUACCCGCAACAGGAGGAUAGCUCGGGGAAACUCGAAUUAACCCUCCAUAAGAUCUUAGACCGGCAUCGGUUAGAGAUUAAAUCUGAGGAGGUUGCGGAUGAGCAUGCGUCUGAUUAGCUAGUUGGCGGGGUAAUGGCCCACCAAGGCGAUGAUCAGUAGGGGAACUGAGAGGUUGAUCCCCCACACUGGCACUGAGAUACGGGCCAGACUCCUACGGGAGCAGCAGUAGGGAAUAUUGGACAAUGGGUGGAAGCCUGAUCCAGCCAUGCCGCGUGCAGGAAGAAGGCCCUUCUGGGUUGUAAACUGCUUUUAUCUGGGGAUAAAAAGGCCUUGCGAGGCAAACUGAAGGUACCAGAUGAAUAAGCCACGGCUAAACUGCGUGCCAG
rnacentral:rRNA from 1 species